rnacentral:rRNA from 1 species
UACGGAGGGGGCUAGCGUUGUUCGGAAUUACUGGGCGUAAAGCGCACGUAGGCGGACGAGAAAGUCAGAGGUGAAAUCCCAGGGCUCAACCUUGGAACUGCCUUUGAAACUUUCUGUCUUGAGGUCGAGAGAGGUGAGUGGAAUUCCGAGUGUAGAGGUGAAAUUCGCAGAUAUUCGGAGGAACACCAGUGGCGAAGGCGGCUCACUGGCUCGAUACUGACGCUGAGGUGCGAGAGCGUGGGGAGCAAACAGG